UGCCUCUUGAAACCCUGAUAAAAGGUACGACCUGCCCAGUGACCUACGGGUUAAACGGCCGCGGUAUCCUGACCGUGCUAAGGUAGCAUAUAAUACGCCCUUUAAUUGGGGGCUAGAAUGAAUGGAAAAACGAAAGUAUCCCUGUCUCCUUAGUAAACACGAAAAUUGACCUUUAAGUGAAAAGACUUAAAUAACUUUAAAGGACAAAAAGACCCUACAGAGCUUCAUCCUUUCUAUCAGACAAUAAAAUAACACAUAUUUCCUGCCCACAGACAGAUGGAUUUUACUGGGGCGGUAAAAGAGAAAAACCCUCUUCUAAACGCUUAGGCCUCAAGCCACACACAAUGACCUUAAAAAAAUCAAAGAAAAAAGCUACCUUAGGGAUAACAGACUAAUUUUUUCUGAGAGCACCUAUUGAAGAAAAAGUUUGGCACCUCGAUGUUGGCUUAGGAAAACCAAAAGGUAGCAGCAG
rnacentral:rRNA from 1 species